CGCUCCUACGGGGGGCAGCAGUGAGGAAUAUUGGUCAAUGGGCGGGAGCCUGAACCAGCCAAGUCGCGUGAGGGAAGACGGUCCUAUGGAUUGUAAACCUCUUUAGGCGGGGAGCAAUGCCGGGCACGCGUGUCCGGAGGGAGAGUACCCGCAGAAUAAGCAUCGGCUAACUCCGUGCCAGCAGCCGCGGUAAUACGGAGGAUGCGAGCGUUAUCCGGAUUUACUGGGUGUAAAGGGAGCGUAGACGGAAAGGCAAGUCAGAAGUGAAAACCCAAGGCUCAACCAUGGGACUGCUUUUGAAACUG
rnacentral:rRNA from 1 species